CAGGAUCUUGAGCUUACUAGGCAGGCAUGGUGGCACUGAGCUACAUCCCCAGCCCUCAUUUCAGUUAUGGAGCUUUACUGAAUAUAUGCAUUGCACAUAUCUACUCACAGUCUGUAGCCUUUAUCCUGAUGAAGAUAAGUUUUUGAUACUAAUAUCUAACAUAACAGUCUUUAUCUUGUUGAAAUCAUUACACAAGGUCAUAAAGCUUUUCUUCUAUGUUAUCUUCUAGAAGUUUUACUCUUUCACCUUUCGAUGAUUUGACCCAGCAGCAUUUAUUGAAAACAUUUUCCUUUUCCCAGUUCUCUGUACUAUCAAAUUUUCAUAAAACAAGUGUCUGUGUUUUCUAUUCCUAGGUUCUUUUGUCUGUUCCACUGGCCAGUUUGUCUAGUUGUACCAACAUCACAUUGUCUCAAUUAGUGUACUUUUUUAUUUCCAAUACUACACAUUCUCCAGCUUUGACUUCUUCAAAAUUAUCUUAGCUAACAUUGAUCCUUUGCAUUUCCAAAUAAAUGUUGGGAUCAGUUUGUCACAUGACACUUGACAUAUACAAACUUCCAUGGAUUUUAAUUAGGUUUGUAAUAAAUUGCCAUGCUAGCGUCAGUUGAUGCUUGCUGAUGGACAUCUUCGUGGUAUUUUAUUAAUCCCUCUGCAAAGCUGGAGACUGAACCCAGAGCACUGAGCUAUAUUUGCAGCCUUUUAAAAAAAAAAGUUUAUCUUUUUAAUACAAAAUCUUGAUAAGUUGCCAUCAAAUUUUCAAUUCUGCUUCAGCCUCCUAAAGAAGGCUAAUCCUUCCUUAGAAGCUGGGAUUGCAAACAUAUGCCACCAUGCUUUCGUUAGAUUUUCAUAAUUUCUGUAGGAAGUUCUCUCACAUUUUCCAAGAUUUAUUCCUGAGUUUUUAAAUGUUUUUUAAGCGAUUGCAAAUGUUUCUUACUGCUUUCUGGAAACAAAUUGAUGUUUUUAUAUCCAGUAACCUUGAUAAUUUCACUUAUUAAAAUAACAAAUUUUUAAAAGAUUUCCUUUACAAUUAUGUUAUCUGUGAAGAAUUAUUUAUUUUGAAUCCUUAAAACUUUUAUUUUUUUUGUCUGAUCACACUUACUAGGACCUUUUUGUACAGUGCAUCUUUUUCCCCUAAUAUGAGGGAGGAAAAUUGUCAGUAAUUUACCAUUAAUUAUGCUUUAGGAUUGUUAACUCUUACUAGGUAAAAACAGAUUAAUCUAUUCCUAUCUAGCUUGCUAAGUUUUUAAAAUAAAAAAUGUUGAAUUUUAUCAAAA
rnacentral:lncRNA from 1 species